rnacentral:rRNA from 1 species
AUUGAACGCUGGCGGCAGGCCUAACACAUGCAAGUCGAACGGUAGCGCAGAGAGCUUGCUCUCGGGUGACGAGUGGCGGACGGGUGAGUAAUGUCUGGGAAACUGCCCGAUGGAGGGGGAUAACUACCGGAAACGGUAGCUAAUACCGCAUAACGUCGCAAGACCAAAGUGGGGGACCUUCGGGCCUCACACCAUCGGAUGUGCCCAGAUGGGAUUAGCUAGUAGGUGGGGUAAUGGCUCACCUAGGCGACGAUCCCUAGCUGGUCUGAGAGGAUGACCAGCCACACUGGAACUGAGACACGGUCCAGACUCCUACGGGAGGCAGCAGUGGGGAAUAUUGCACAAUGGGCGCAAGCCUGAUGCAGCCAUGCCGCGUGUAUGAAGAAGGCCUUCGGGUUGUAAAGUACUUUCAGCGGGGAGGAAGGCGGUGAAGUUAAUAACUUCACCGAUUGACGUUACCCGCAGAAGAAGCACCGGCUAACUCCGUGCCAGCCGCCGCAGUAAGAC